CAGGAAGACACUUGCCUAUUAGCAUUCGCCUGCUGCUUUGCUGUGCUACACAUGGUACAGGCUGGGAAUACGUGCUCUGGGAUGGUCAGUACAUUUUUGGUCUUAGGAGAGCUAGUUUUUCAGUGCCAACUCAGUUUCUUUGGAGCUGAGGGAAUUUGCUUUGAAAGUUGAGAGAAAAACAUGCUUCACAGUUUUCACAGUUAAACUCACCAGAAAUUACUUCAUUUGUGGCUGUUUUUGGCUUUCAUGCCCCAGCUAUUUUGACAUUUCACAUAAGUUAAGUGACAGAGAAUUAGUCGGCAUGCAUACUUAAAUGCCUGUAUGUUUGUGGCCAUUUCACAUUCAGGCAAAGGGUCUAGCUUUCCCUCAUGGGAAUUUCCUCCUCCUAAAAUAUAUGCAUCAUUUACAAAGUUACUUCUGCACAGGAGAAGCCUCUAGUCAGAUGUAGUUUGCAUACUUUCCAGAUCCUUUUUACUGCCAUAGAAAGAAAGAUAAAUACAACAAAAGCCUUGAGUAGCAAAGUGGCUAAUCUUUAGGCCGGGGUCAGGUAUUUACUGGAGAAGCAGCUGUGCCAGUUUAAGAGGUGAUUGACAUCCAGCUGUUUGACAUCACUCCCCAGCGGCUGUACAGUCAGCCCUGUUGCAUAAUAGACAAGACUGUAUAAAAAAAUUCCUCGUUCUUUGCAGGGCAAAGUCAGCUGGGUAAGCUCAGAUAACUUCUGCUUACUAACCCUGCUGCCUUUGCACUGGAGCAGAUGAGGAGUGCCCAGGUGAUUUAUCCCAACAUCGGAGCUGUACCAGGAAGUGGGUAAUUUCCAGUUUGUGCAUGGGCAUGGACGUUUUCAAAUGCCACAAAACCAUCUCUGCAACGCCCACGUGACCAUGGCUCAGAAUAUACUCACUGUUUCAGAGGCUGUCAGUAACCGUCCUCUUCCAGACCCGGCUGUGCAGGCGAGGAUGGCAGGCAUCUGGCAUGGCUAUUCCCAGACGCUCAUGGCUCUUCCUGCAGCUCCAUGGGUCGGGAUGGUGCUACUACAGACAAAGCGUGCUGAGUUGUGCAGGAGGCGACUCUUGGCUAUGGUGAAAAUGCAAAACUGGAGGCAGAGGCAGCAAGACUUUCAACAGUCUGAGGUGUUUGCAAAGUGGAUAAUUGUGCAUGACCAGAGGAAUUGGAGUCUCCAUCCCGUCAUGCUUCUGAAGACCCACUGGCAUGCACUGGACAAGGAGAAGGCUUCUGUUAUCCAGCCAGAGAUGACGAAGGGGACCGAGGACACAUCGUGGACAACGGAUUGCGAAGGGCAAGCAGUCCAAUGACCUGCUUGCAAACAAUCCUGAUUUGAAAAUUCUUUAUCUAAUCUAAACUAAUAAUGACAAAUAGCCCUGAAAAAUAGUAGAAUCAAUUCACUAACCAAGCGAAGGCCUAGACUGAUAAUGAUAAAUUCACUCCAGUCUAAAUGUCCUUGUGGACCAUGGUUUUUAGUCUACAGAUAUUAAUUUGAAUUUUGGAUAGCUUUUCUAAGCUGCAUCUCCAAACUUUUUUGACAGUUGCUUAUCUUUGCUACUAAAAAUCAUUAGAUUGUUUAUUUGUGUCAUGCAAUCAAUAAGAAAAAUAAAAGAUACUAAAGCACUUUAUUUCCA
rnacentral:lncRNA from 1 species